rnacentral:rRNA from 1 species
UAGUAUUCAAUUGUCAGAGGUGAAAUUCUUGGAUYUAUUGAAGACUAACUACUGCGAAAGCAUUUGCCUAGGAUGUUUUCAUUAAUCAAGAACGAAAGUUAGGGGAUCGAAGACAAUCAGAUACCGUCGUAGUCUUAACCAUAAACUAUGCCGACUAGGGAUCGGAUGAUGUUAAUUUUUUAAUGACUCA